rnacentral:misc_RNA from 1 species
AAGGCUUGACAUGGGACAGACCGUACGAGAGAUCGUGCUUCUCCAGCAAUGGAGCUGUCCACACAGGUGCUGCAUGGCUGUCGUCAGCUCGUGUCGUGAGAUGUUGGGUUAAGUCCCGCAACGAGCGCAACCCCCGUUUCUAGUUGCCAUCAUUCAGUUGGGCCCUCUAGAGAGACUGCCGCGAAUAACGCGGAGGAAGGUGGGGAUGACGUUUACGUGCACUU